UGGAAUUCGAGUAUCUGAUGGAUUAGUUUGCACAACACAAGGUCAAGGAAGAAACUCUCCUAAAGACCGACAGAGUGGAUAUGAACAGCAGAGGGUCUGCUGUCAAGGUUGGAGGUGUUUUCAUCUACUGUAGCACAGACUGCUUCUGUCGAUACAAUCAAGAGCUACAACAAGAGCUCAAUUGUGCCAUAGCAGGCAGAAGCGAUCAGAAUGGCAUGACAGAGGGAAAUGCCUAAGACAGGCCUGGAUAAACAUGCUGAGGCAAGAUACUGACACCCACACUCUGUUUCUCUCUUGCUUGUACACACUGUCUCGUCCGUCUUCUCUACUUUUCAAUUUUCCCCCUUAAUCCCCCUUAUUACUGACAUUACCACCGGUGUUUACUACAAAAGUCUGGCCACUUGUGAUUUUAAAACACAGAAAAAGGCAAUCUAAACACUCGCAACAAAUUUUUUAACUUGAGACGGACACUAAAUCUCAUAGUAUUCAGAUAUGGCAUGCAUGUAUACGAGUUCGCGUUCCUGCUUGACAGUUUGUAUACAGAAUUAGGAGGUAAAGUGAGUUUAACUGACAGUCUGUUGAGAUAAACGGUAACGAGGAGAGGUUUGCAGAGAGCAGGGUGGUCAUAACACAUGCAAUCAGUUUUGACAGAGCAGGGAUGUGGUUAAUCUUUCCAUGCCUCUAUCACCACUCUAUCUCAGUGGGUACUGUGAUGUGCAUGCUUGGCAAUACCGGCGACUGACCCAGAUAGUGAAUACAGCCAUUCUUUCCCCCAACAGCAUCUCACGACUUUCCCUCCUUUGGAUUCCAUUUAAGUUCCAGACUCCCUUUAACAAAAACUGGACUGUACACUGUCAGUCAAAAAAAAAAUGGCAUCAGGGCUGAUUCUUUUGCUACAGGCCAUGUUUACCACUUUUCCUUUCCUUAUUGCAACUAGCCCAAUCUCUUCUCUGGAUGCUCUUCUUGUCAGACAUACAGUAUUGUGCAUAAAUGCAGCGUGUCUCUCCAUCAUGCUCCCAAAUAUAACAUAAAGUGCGCACUAUCCCUUAACAACCCCGCUGAAAGGAGCUUGGUCUGAGAGUAAUAUCUUCUGACUGCUUGGCACAAAAUAUGUUUCAGGAGAGUAGGAAAUCGCUGCACGUUUGUAUAAAAAUGCUUAUUUUUUCAGAGGGAAGAAAAGUACUGGUGUAUCUUCUCAGUAGGGAAGCUCUGACAGGUUUCUGUUAGGCACAAAACAGCGGGAGAGAAGAAAAAGGGGUUUUGCGUGUGUGCAUGUAAAAACCUGUAUGCACUAUAUGCACUUUAAGCUCCGCAUGAAUCUAUGUUGGAAUCUCAAAAAAGAAAAAAUCCAUCGUUCUCCUUGAAACUCGGCUAACAUUUGUUAGAUUUUUGAUUGAAAACAACAAGCCUGACAGACUACUGGUAGCACCGAUUCCUCAUUUUGCCCCUCAGGUUCAGAAAUCUCCUUAACAUAUCUCUGCUGGACUUGAUUCCUCAGUCACGGAACAAUGCCUCUUGGCAUUCUGGGAUGCAGCAGAGGCGCACACAGCCCAAAUGAACAGUUAUAUGAAAACACUUUUACGAUUGAUCAGCGCCUGAGGCAAAACUCCCAUUCAAGAUUUUCCUCUCAGCAGUAAUGUUUCAGGAGACAGACUCCAACCUAAGUAUAACCAUGGAAGAAAACAAAUAUCUUCUGGAACAGUGGUUCUCAAAUUUGUUUGGGUACUGGACCCCUUGUAUAAUUUGAGAGGUCCUGAGAACCCCUUGCCACCACGUGGAAAAAAAAAAACCCCAAAACAAUUUGACAUAAAACAGAAAUUGCAUUAGGCUCAUUGAAGGGAAAACCUACAUUGCUUUAUUGGAACACCUUGCAAGUCAAGAGUUUUCCACAAAAGAGGCCUGCCUCUAAUACAAACCUGCUACCUUCUGCAGCUGAGGUAAACAAAGGCCCCGGUCACUAUUUGAGGAAACACGGUGUGUCUGUAAAGGCCAUAGAAUCUUUUUAAAAUAUACAUUUUAUUAUUUCCUGAAACUUCUAAGCAUUGCCCACCUGUUUGCCUGCUGUUUGAGUUUACUUUACACUUUGAUAUUAUCUCCUUGACUUGGCAACACAACACAGAAGUAUCCAGUAUAGGCUUAGAGGUCUAGUGAUAUAAGGGGGUGCAGUACAGUACAUUAUGUGCAGCACAGGGAGCAGGAACAAUUCUCCCCUACAUCUUAACAUGAACUCCUUGUUUUGUUUACAACUCUAUAGUUGAUUUUAUGUAUGGAGGGUGUCCAAGUAUACACUCUAGACUGCAACUUCUGAUUUGGGGCUUCACCAGCAGCCCGAGACUAUGACCAGAAGGCAUGCAGGAGACACGGAAAGCACAGAUGGGUCUUGUAGCAGAAGCCCGGGUUUCACAGGCCUGAGCCAGGGGAGGGAGUAAUCCAUCAGGCCAAGGCACACUGUUGCCUAGGGGGGCCAGUCACUGAUCCUAUAAGACUGAUUGGGCCUCUGUGGGGGGCCAGACCCCCUGACUAGACUGACAUCAGUGUCUGGCUUGCUCCACUGAGGUUUGAUCUGAACUGGACUGAGCCAAAGCAGUGACCUGCUUCCGUUUGGAUACUGUGGAGGGAGCUAUCUAGAUCACAGAUAAUAUUCUGCAAAAACAUGUUGUAUGAAGUCAGGAAAAAAAAUGCUGCCUAAACUUUAGAUCCAUAUUUACAAUCUUAAAUAAAACAAAUUCCAAAAACAAAUAUCAAAAUAGGUCAUCCUUCUUCAAUAAAGAAUUAAUAUCCCCUGUCUAUAUAUUUAGCCUAAUGUCAACUGUGGAACUGAUAUAACUCUAUUACUAUAAUUACAUGGCACUGUUGUUAAUACAAUGUAAAACUUUUGAUGAAGUGAUAAGAAUCUAAUUACUUUAUCCUACACUCAUCUGAGUUGAAGAGGUCAGAGACGGCAUCAGCCAGACGAGCGGAUGGAACCUGCAGGAGCCAAGGCAAGCCGCAUGAUUGACAGAGCGCACGGAGAGUGGUGGUGGAGAUCAUAGAAGGCCCUGCAAGCGAGCAGCGUUACGCUUUUCCUCCAUGCCAUCACCAUCAGACCCAUUUGGCCAUGUGAAGAUGCUCCCUUCUGUUCGCAUGGGGGGGUACAGGGGAGAGAAGUAAAGGUCCACUUGUGACAAGCCUAGUGGGAAUAGCAACAUCUGGUGGACCGGCUGCUCCUCUGGUUAACAUGCUCCUCCUCAGUGGCCCCCGACGACACACACCCUGGUAGCGCAUGCACACACAUGCACAGGUACAUGCAGAUCCAUACACAUGCAUAUGGACAACAACAAAGUCAGGUGCAUGUACAUAUGCACGCAUGUGUGCAAAACACACACAAGCACAGUUUCCCACCAUAGUUAUUCUUGUCAUAUACUUUUAAAGUAAAUCCACAUUCUGUUCAUCUUGUGUAAAUAAUGGGCCGUCGUGUCAACAGACUCUGCAUCAUUAUUACACUGGAGUGAGGUAUAAAUAGAAAGCCUAUCAUUCAUGGAUUGAUGCUAAAGAGCAACUAUGUCCAAUUUGCACCAGAUGCUCUUCUGAGCCGAGUUAAGCUUGCAUUAUUGCUGAUGGAAAAUGUCAUGUUACUGGCAAGGUGAACCCUCUCCACUCCAACCCCUGUUCUUGAUGUAGCUUUGUAUGGAUUUGUGCUGGCUCACUCUCAUAUCCAUCCUGUAAUUGACUAAAUAAAGAGCUGCACCUUA